UCGACUCCGUUUUUCCUAGGCUGGUUGGAGAAACCAGACUCUAUGGAAUUUGAACCCUGAAACUUCUAAUGCUUAGUUAUCAGACUGUUUCAUUCUGUACCAUUUAAUGCUUCUGAAUUGUUUCUUUUUAUCUUGCUGUCUAAAAGAGGUUAAUAGCAUACAAAAAUGAAAUAAUAAAAUAUAAAAUGAUUUCAAAGGUACAUGUGUACCUUGUAAAAUCUGCUAUGUGUAAUUGGGACAUGUCUUGGGAAUUUUUCAUGGUAAAUCAUGUUAAAGUAGAGUUUUAACAUUUAUGUUUUUUAAAGAUUGACUUGGACAAGGCUACUGCAGCAUUCAUUUUGGAAGAAAGCUUUUGCUGGAGCAGAUCAGGAAUCAAGCGUCGAAGAUCUCAGUCUCAGCAGAAACACUAUGGAGUGUUCUGGGCCACAAGAUUCCAAGGAGCUUUUGCAGAACUCUCAGAGUAGACAAGCAAAAGGGCACAAGAGUGGUCAACCACUAGGUCACUC
rnacentral:lncRNA from 1 species